UACGUAGGGUGCAAGCGUUGUCCGGAAUUAUUUGGGCGUAAAGCGCACGUAGGCGGUUCGUUAAGUCAGAUGUGAAACCCUCGGCUCAACCGAGGAAGUGCAUCUGAAACUGGCGAGCUAGAGUACUAAAGAGGGUCGCGGAAUUCCCGGUGUAGAGGUGAAAUUCGUAGAUAUCGGGAGGAACACCGGUGGCGAAGGCGGCGACCUGGGUAGAUACUGACGCUGAGGUGCGAAAGCGUGGGGAGCAAACAGG
rnacentral:rRNA from 1 species